UCAAAAUGAUGAGCUUUUCUGUCAGUUCUGCUACUGAAGCAAUUUUUGUAGAGAAUUUUUACCACUUUCUGAUCC
rfam:Lutzomyia longipalpis Contig30689, whole genome shotgun sequence.